UACGAAGGGUGCAAGCGUUACUCGGAAUUACUGGGCGUAAAGCGUGCGUAGGCGGUUCGCUGUGUCCGAUGUGAAAGCCCCGGGCUUAACCUGGGAAUGCAUUGGAAACUGGCGGGCUUGAGUGCGGCAGAGGGGGGUGGAAUUCCGCGUGUAGCAGGUGAAAUGCGUAGAGAUGCGGAGGAACACCGAUGGCGAAGGCAGCCCC
rnacentral:rRNA from 1 species